rnacentral:snoRNA from 1 species
ACGCCUUACUUGAGCAUGAUCUCUUCUAUAGGAUCGUACUACUGUGUCCUUGAUUUCUAAGCAGACAUGAACAACUUAUAAGGUACUACUAAAAUCUCACUGUUAUAU